GUUUAUGACUGACUUUUAUUACUAACACAAAAGAUUGUCCAUGUAUAAGCCCCCUUGUGUAAGCCCAUCAAAAAUCGUUUAUGAAAGAAUAUAAGCCCAGGGCUUAUGGUCGGAGGUUUGCGAUAGAUUGUCAAAAAACUGCAGAACUGAUAAGAUGGUGUCCAUGGGAUACAAUACUUAUGGUAGAAUCAGGGAAGUGAGGAAAACACAUGCAGUACAGGAAAACAAGACUGUACCACUAGAAACUCCCCAGGUCUAUCCUUACAGAUAAAAGAAGUAUCACACCAGACACCAAUAAACAAUUUUGCAUCUUCUGCCAAACAUUUUGUUUGAAUGUUUUUAACCCAUUGAGUGGUAGCACUCUCCCACUGAUGAGUAAUGAGUCUAGUGUUAGACAG